rnacentral:tRNA from 1 species
UAGCUCAGUUGGUAAAGAAUCUGCCUGCAAUGCAGGAGACCUGGGUUCAAUUCCUAG